rnacentral:lncRNA from 1 species
UUUUUUUUCACGUCUCCCUAGGUAGUCUAUCCUUGAUAUGUUCAUCCUAACCGAUGAAAAAUAUUCUUCCUUUGAGUUUAUCCUUGAUAUGUUCACUUUAACUAGUGGAGAAUACUCUCUCUUUUGUUUUCUACCAAGUAAAAAGGUAGUUGUAAUCCCUAUUUUAUUCCCCAGAGAGUUUAUCCUUGAUAUGUUCACUUUGAC